CGUUACAAGGUUGCGAGUUACGGUAGGCUUCGAUGUAAGCGAUUGUAGAUGGCGGUGCAUCUAUCGCUGCCCACAAGGCACUAUUUGUGAAGGCACCUUCACCUUGGCUUCUUCGAGUUUGCAUAACGUCAUUGUAAGGGAUUGAAAAGCAUGAAGUAUAAAAACAAACCUGCUGUGAAAUUCGAAACAUCAGUGAUAUAAUAUCAGGGACCGAACAGAAAGUUUUUCGUUUGUAAGAGCCGUUACCAUAUGCCGGUCACCCUUACAUAUAAUAUGUCCAACAUUGUGAUUGGCUGACAGCUGCUCUUACGAAAAGUUCUACCGCAAGACAUAUUUCAUGCAUACGAGACCGGCUGCGAGGUCCAAAAGAGCGAUGUUGUUAUUCACAAAAUAUUCGAGGUUACUCACUAAAUAAUUUUAAAGUCAGCCAAGAAAGGACAAGACGACAGCAAUUUAGACACAAUGUUUGGUUAGUCUCUUAAUUUCAGUCGAACUCUAUUCUGCUCAUCGAGACAUAAAGAACCGGUACCUGUGAUAAGGUGCAAUAUCGAAAACGAUGCCGUUGAGAUGCAGAACUUAAACAUACGUAAGUGUGUCGGCGUCCGUCAAACUGACAAACGUAGAUGCAAGAUUUUUGCAUUUCCUCGCCGGUCCAGCACUCUGCUUGCCGAGCUUACACACGCUAGUAAACUUUUGAUUAAAGAAGGCUGCUGGCAUUUUCCUACUGUCACCCGCACCACAAUUAUAACAUGUCGCACUCGUUUCUGUCCCAUUAAGCUGCUUUCAUAUAUUCGCUGCUCGCCUCGUUCCUUUGUUACCUGUAAGCUGCCACGUAGGUAAGAUUGAUGUUGACAGGCGUUGCGCCGCGUUGACUUGUUGGGCAAAGUCCCAUCUCGCGCUGCCCGUGCUUUCAGGUUUCUGUAAAAUUCUAAAAGGAUUCUCAAGGCAGCGAAAAGAAUUCUCGUUGUCUCGCCCGAGCACUGGUUUGGGCGACGUCGAGAUGAAAAUAGGCUUCAGAUGCGUCACCGCGACCAGGAAGUAGUUAUUCCUUUUCUUUUGUUUUUUUUUCGUUUUUAUUUAUUUUAUUUUUUUGGACGACGAAAAAUAUUUCAGGUGACGUACUUCAAAGGCAGCGCAUGCUGGCAAAUUGGAAUUUCUGGCGUUUCCUCUCCGGACCAGUGGAGCUGAAGCUGGAGGAACACCUUGUGUGUGUGCUCGCGGGCACACCUUCAAAUGCGCGAGGCGACGUCAGCCAAUGCCCAAAAUACGCUGCAGUGCUUGAGCUUUGCUGCAGCUCGUGAAAACAAACAUGCAGUGAGGCUUUCGUGACUCGCUAUCGGCCGUUGCCAGUAGAACGACCAAUCACUAGAGCCUGCAGCAGCAGGGGCCGGGAAACGUGGCAGCCAAUCUUCGGCCGCAAACGCCUACGUGAACUCGGCUUGCGAUUGACACAGGCCGUUCGUACCUUCCACAACACUGCACGUAUUUAGUCGGCCGGAGCAUAGGCUCUAGGGAAAAUGGCAGCGGCUGCGGAAAGGACACGCUAAAGGCACUUGACACGAGCCGCCCAGGGGCACGUGCUAGGUUGCUUCGAUAUGAUUUCGGGUUCUUCGUCGGCAGCAGAAUAACGAAGAAAGACAGGCCAGAGGUAAUCAGCAGCGGCGGGUUCGAGUAAUAACACCGCCGCCGCCGCCGCCGCCGCCGCCGCCUUCGCUCAGCCGCAUCCCAAGCGGCCAUCGUAAAAGGAGAAUAACCAAUCAGCGUAUAGCAGGUGCCGUGUCUCGAUGCCAGAAGAUCGGCUAUACCGACAGAGAAGGCAGUGAAGCCUUCUUCCCCUUUUCCAUUCUCCUUUUCCGCUGCAGGCGUUCGUUUUGCUGCGUGGCAGCUGUCGCGAGGAAUAAUUAAAACGAAUGCUCGCCUUGUAGCUCCGCGAUAAAAAAAAGAACUCGGUUUGACUCAUUGUCACCAAUGUCUUUCUUUUUUUUUUUUUCUCCAUCUCUCUCUUUGUGCAGGUACGUACUACGUGCGACCGCGCUUUGGUGCUGUAGCGCGCGUGUCCACCUGGCUGGCACGACAGAAUGAAGAUGAACCGAUCCGACGCGCCCAAGAAGCUGCGUCUUUGCUUCGGGGCGAACGGGUUCUGAUCAAACGAGCAAGGAAUAACCAACUUUACUUACAGGUUUAGAGAGGAAGGCAACUACGUGAAAUAUCGCAGUCUUGUUCAAGCUGGCAAAUCGACACUAACUGAACCAUGACAGGGCUGGAAUUAUCAAUGCUGGAUAAGGAUCUUCUAAAAAUACUGUGAGAGUGCUGGCUAGCGCGCAUGUACCGCUUGCAUGUACGAAUGGGAUUUGGAUGAAGGAAAAUCGGGGUGUCAUAACACCAGCCACGCACCAGUCGCGACAGUGCGCACCAGCCAUCACUUCUCAACACACCAACCGCGAUGGCUCACGGGAGACAGGUCUCACCCCAAUCAACGGUUAAGCUUUAUCACGGCACACCACCAUGUGGACGUCCUCUCCGGGUUUGUGCUGUUUGUACUAUGACCGUACUGUUUAAAAAUAUGCUUUUUCGCCGCACACAUUUGACUCGCAACUUCAGCGGAUGCCCGAGGUUGAUCAA